UUUUUAGAACCUGAGAUACCUGAGAAUCAAUUGUCAUGAGUGGUUGCAAUCCUUACUCGUCUUCUAGUGCUUCAUCUGGGUAGGGGUCUAUAUAGUCUACUUGAGUGAACUUUCACUGCUACUCUGAGAAAUCGCUUAAAUGAAGUUUAAGUUGAUCAGGCUGAAAAUUGAUUCAAAGCCUUGGCUUGUUCCUGUGAGAACAGAAAACUAAAAAUCUCAGUUUCAUUAUCUAGUGAAACUAACUGCUUUUCUUCUUUUUUUCUUGUUGAAGCAUGAGUCCCCUUUCCAUCCUUGGUAAAUCCGAGUUCUUAAUGAUCUACUUUCUUUAAUUCUGCAGAAGCAGAUUCCAGCAUGUAGGACUCUGGUCCCCGGUCCUGACUUGCUUCAAAUGCUUCAGAGGUAACUGUUGGCCCACUCGCUGUACACCUUGUGUUUUUAACCGAUUUCAAUUCUCAUCUGCAAAUUUGUGCAGGCACCUGGAGGAGAA
rnacentral:lncRNA from 1 species